UUAACUAUUAUAUAGUACUCAGACGACACUAACAUUCAGAGUUUGGGGUCCUCUGGCAGGCGCGACCCGGCCGGAGCCGGUGCCCGAGGGCGGCCUGCCAAAGCAACAUGAUAUAUUACACAAGGGUGGGCGUUUCUACCCGUGAGGGCAGGGAACACUGUAAUGAUCCUUCCGCAGGUUCACCUACGGAAA
rnacentral:misc_RNA from 1 species